rnacentral:rRNA from 1 species
GAUGAACGCUGGCGGCGUGCCUAAUACAUGCAAGUCGAGCGAACGGACGAGAAGCUUGCUUCUCUGAUGUUAGCGGCGGACGGGUGAGUAACACGUGGAUAACCUACCUAUAAGACUGGGAUAACUUCGGGAAACCGGAGCUAAUACCGGAUAAUAUUUUGAACCGCAUGGUUCAAAAGUGAAAGACGGUCUUGCUGUCACUUAUAGAUGGAUCCGCGCUGCAUUAGCUAGUUGGUAAGGUAACGGCUUACCAAGGCAACGAUGCAUAGCCGACCUGAGAGGGUGAUCGGCCACACUGGAACUGAGACACGGUCCAGACUCCUACGGGAGGCAGCAGUAGGGAAUCUUCCGCAAUGGGCGAAAGCCUGACGGAGCAACGCCGCGUGAGUGAUGAAGGUCUUCGGAUCGUAAAACUCUGUUAUUAGGGAAGAACAUAUGUGUAAGUAACUGUGCACAUCUUGACGGUACCUAAUCAGAAAGCCACGGCUAACUACGUGCCAGCAGCCGCGGUAAUACGUAGAUGGCAAGCGUUAUCCGGAAUUAUUGGGCGUAAAGCGCGCGUAGGCGGUUUUUUAAGUCUGAUGUGAAAGCCCACGGCUCAACCGUGGAGGGUCAUUGGAAACUGGAAAACUUGAGUGCAGAAGAGGAAAGUGGAAUUCCAUGUGUAGCGGUGAAAUGCGCAGAGAUAUGGAGGAACACCAGUGGCGAAGGCGACUUUCUGGUCUGUAACUGACGCUGAUGUGCGAAAGCGUGGGGAUCAAACAGGAUUAGAUACCCUGGUAGUCCACGCCGUAAACGAUGAGUGCUAAGUGUUAGGGGGUUUCCGCCCCUUAGUGCUGCAGCUAACGCAUUAAGCACUCCGCCUGGGGAGUACGACCGCAAGGUUGAAACUCAAAGGAAUUGACGGGGACCCGCACAAGCGGUGGAGCAUGUGGUUUAAUUCGAAGCAACGCGAAGAACCUUACCAAAUCUUGACAUCCUUUGACAACUCUAGAGAUAGAGCCUUCCCCUUCGGGGGACAAAGUGACAGGUGGUGCAUGGUUGUCGUCAGCUCGUGUCGUGAGAUGUUGGGUUAAGUCCCGCAACGAGCGCAACCCUUAAGCUUAGUUGCCAUCAUUAAGUUGGGCACUCUAAGUUGACUGCCGGUGACAAACCGGAGGAAGGUGGGGAUGACGUCAAAUCAUCAUGCCCCUUAUGAUUUGGGCUACACACGUGCUACAAUGGACAAUACAAAGGGCAGCGAAACCGCGAGGUCAAGCAAAUCCCAUAAAGUUGUCCUCAGUUCGGAUUGUAGUCUGCAACUCGACUACAUGAAGCUGGAAUCGCUAGUAAUCGUAGAUCAGCAUGCUACGGUGAAUACGUUCCCGGGUCU